GUUUACUAAGCUGACACAGCACUAUAAGCUGACACAGCACUUCAGCAGUUUGAGAAACUUAUGUUGCCAUCAAAAACUUAUGUUGCCAUCUCUAGAACAGUACAAAGAAAGCUUGUAGAUAAGAGAUAAUUAACCGCACAAGACUUGGCAUAAGUUCUGGUGGUCCUGAACAGUCUGGCCAACUGCCAGGUCCAUCCAGCUGCUUGUAUCAAGGUCUUUUGCUGGGCUGCACUGAUAAGGAACUACUGACUGUCCUUGAAGACAGGUAUAUAAGACUAAGGGAAUCUUGCGCUCCCUUGGAGAACUACC